rnacentral:rRNA from 1 species
GUGGGGAAUAUUGGACAAUGGGGGGAACCCUGAUCCAGCCAUGCCGCGUGUGUGAAGAAGGCCUUUUGGUUGUAAAGCACUUUAAGCGAGGAGGAGGCUACCGAGAUUAAUACUCUUGGAUAGUGGACGUUACUCGCAGAAUAAGCACCGGCUAACUCUGUGCCAGCAGCCGCGGUAAUACAGAGGGUGCAAGCGUUAAUCGGAUUUACUGGGCGUAAAGCGCGCGAAGGUGGCCAAUUAAGUCAAAUGUGAAAUCCCCGAGCUUAACUUGGGAAUUGCAUUCGAUACUGGUUGGCUAGAGUAUGGGAGAGGUUGGUAGAAUUCCAGGUGUAGCGGUGAAAUGCGUAGAGAUCUGGAGGAAUACCGAUGGCGAAGGCAGCCAUCUGGCCUAAUACUGACACUGAGGUGCGAAAGCAUGGGGAGCAAACAGGAUUAGAUACCCGAGUAGUCC